UAUACCACAAUUUGCUCAGCCACUCAUCUGUUGUUGGACACCUGGGUUGCUUCCAGGUUUUGGCUAUUACAAAUUGUGCUGCCAAGAACAUAUGUGUACACAGAUCUUUUUGGAUGGGUGUGUUGGCUUCUUUAGGAUAUAUCCCCAGGAGAGGAAUUGCAGGAUCAUAGGAGGAAGAACAACCAUCCAAUGAGAAUGAGGACAAGCCAUCAAGUUGCAGAUGCUACCAUGAUGCCAACCUGACUUUCCUGGGCAGAUGACCUCACCAUUUUGUCCUGGAACCUCACCUCCCCAGAGCCCAGCCCAACUAGGGAAAGAUAGAAACUGGUUGGAACUAUGAAUUAACCUGUCAAUACCCAUGUCCAGUGGAGAAGCAAAUACAGAAGCCAGACUGUCCAUCCACUGCUCCCAAUAAAGAUCUUUGGUCCAUAUUCCCAGAGGGUUAAAGAUAUGGGAAACUUCUGAUGGAAAAGAGGAAAUAUGGAACUCUGGUGGUGGGAAUUGUAUGGAAUCAUCACCCUCUUAUACCACAAUCUAGUCAAUCAUUAUUAAAUCACUAAAAAAACUUUU